UUUUUAGUCGUAUGGUCUUGAGCUAACGGAAAUAAGUUGCAGAGUGAAGAGAAACACCAAAUGAUUAAACUUAUACAGUGGCAAGAAAAAGUAUGUGAAACUUUAGGAAUUUCAUGGUUUUCUGAAUAAAUUUGUAAUAAAAUGUGAUCUGAUCUUCAUCUAAGUCAAGGCUUACAUCUGGUUAGCUGUAUGGUCUUGAGCUAACGGAAAUAAGUUGCAGACUGAAGAGAAACACCAAAUGAUUGAAUUUAUAAUGGGAGUAACACCUUUAUGAUGAAUGAUGCAUUUUGUGUCCCACUGAUAUUACAUUUAUAAAUAUGUGUGUAAAGGGUAAAAAAAAAAAUUAAGACGGAUAAAGUGUCUUUCUCACCGGCCUGUGUGCAUGUUUCAGGUAAGUAACUUAAAACAUUAAUAAAACAUAGAAACCCACUUUUCCUUUCAAUAUAAACAUUAAAAUACUCCACAAAUCGUAUUAGUUUAUUAUUAAUGUAUAAAUCUGUAGAACAUCUGAUUCCUGAAACACCCUUUUCCAUCGCAGGUUAUGAAGAAAUGCACAUUUUAGAUCCACUGCCUUCACUCAACCCUGUCACCCGAACACAUUCAGAUGUUUUUCCCUGGCAUAAUGCUCCUGAUUCCCAGUUUUUUUAUCAACCUGCAAACACACACACAAAAUCCACAGCUACAAAGGGUUGAACUCUGAAUCUAAGGUACAGAACAACGAACAAACAGAAACACCAAGCAAACCACCAACAGCAGCAGUAUUUCAAGUAAUCCCUGAUGUUCAUGGAACAGACAGUCGACUGUGAUCGUAUCGUCUCUCUUUACAGCUCUGCUGCUGUCUGGUACAACACACUCCGGAUCAAACGUGUGAUGAAGCGCCACCAGAACUGCAGGCUUGUUA